GGGUGGGGGGAGACGGCUUCUGAAAUGGAGCCAGCCCAAACGGGAGACGAUGCUGGAACAGGGGCUGCGUCAUUUCGGGGCAGGGAGAGGGCUCAGCUCCCCUCCACCGAUUCCCUGUCUCCCGGCACGGAGGACAGAUACCAGAGGACAGAUACCAGCAGGCCAGGGCAGGGUGCGGGGCUCUGUAGGGUCGGGAUCACCUCCGCCCGUCCUUCUCCGCAAGCCCCCGGAGCCGGGACGGGGAACGAAAACCCCCCGUCAGGAAAAGGAAUAAGCCGCCUUCGGUCUGCCUAGCGAUGACAGAAAGGACUGGGGCAGGGAGAGGAGUACGGGACUCGUCGGCCACAAGGCAGUAGGCAGGACCGGUCACGAACGGGGGCCCGAGGCAGGGCCGACAUCCGCGGGGGUAACAGGGUCCCGGGACGGCGAGGGUAGGAGGAAUGAUCGGCAUUUAUAACGCCGGGGGAGGCUCACAGCCUUUCAAAGAGUUUCAGCUGGGGCUUGCCACAAACCGAUUUCAAGUCUUAUCCUUUAAACCCAGGGGCUGGAGAAGCUGUACCUCCGAGGCUCCCUGGCACCUACCAGAGGGACAUGUACCUCUCUAAAUGGGCCCUGGAGUCAUGAUGGAGUUGAGCGAAGCUGCGGGGAAAUAUGUCAUUUAAUCCCAGGGCUACUGAAGUCCCUUUUAUCAAACGUCGUGAUGCUGGAAUUAUACGGCUGUAAAAGCGGCUGAGUACUUAAAAGUAUCCAACAUCAGGCAAAUAUAUAGAUUGGAGGAAUGGGUGUAAAAUGAAGGCAUGUACAAACUAAUCACACGACCGUGAAAACCCCAAGAGGAUUAGAUAAAUAUAAAUAGAUGUGCAUUAAAAAAAAAAAUAAAAAAAUAAUAAUAAAAAAAAAUUCUAGCUGCUGUAUUCACACAAG